UACAGAGGGGGCAAGCGUUGUUCGGAAUUACUGGGCGUAAAGGGCGCGUAGGCGGUGUGUCAAGUCAGGCGUGAAAGCCCCCGGGCUCAACCUGGGAACCGCGCUUGAGACUGGCACGCUCGAGUUCGGGAGAGGAUGGUGGAAUUCCCAGUGUAGAGGUGAAAUUCGUAGAUAUUGGGAAGAACACCGAUGGCGAAGGCAGCCAUCUGGACCGACACUGACGCUGAGGCGGCGAAAGCG
rnacentral:rRNA from 1 species